GCGGACGUGGCGAAAUUGGUAGACGCAAGAGACUUAAAAUCUCUCGGCCACAGGCUGUACGGGUUCGACCCCCGUCGUCCGCACCA
rnacentral:tRNA from 1 species